rnacentral:rRNA from 1 species
UGGGGAAUAUUGCACAAUGGGCGAAAGCCUGAUGCAGCGACGCCGCGUGAGGGAUGACGGCCUUCGGGUUGUAAACCUCUUUCAGUAGGGAAGAAGCGAAAGUGACGGUACCUGCAGAAGAAGCGCCGGCUAACUACGUGCCAGCAGCCGCGGUAAUACGUAGGGCGCAAGCGUUAUCCGGAAUUAUUGGGCGUAAAGAGCUCGUAGGCGGUUUGUCGCGUCUGCCGUGAAAGUCCGGGGCUCAACUCCGGAUCUGCGGUGGGUACGGGCAGACUAGAGUGAUGUAGGGGAGACUGGAAUUCCUGGUGUAGCGGUGAAAUGCGCAGAUAUCAGGAGGAACACCGAUGGCGAAGGCAGGUCUCUGGGCAUUAACUGACGCUGAGGAGCGAAAGCAUGGGGAGCGAACAGGAUUAGAUACCCUGGUAGUCCAUGCCGUAAACGUUGGGCACUAGGUGUGGGGACAUUCCACGUUUUCCGUACCGUAGCUAACGCAUUAAGUGCCCCGCCUGGGGAGUACGGCCGCAAGGCUA